rnacentral:rRNA from 1 species
GAUGAACGCUGGCGGCGUGCCUAAUACAUGCCAGUCGAGCGAACAGACGAUGCGCUUGCUCCUCUGACGUUAGCGGCGGACGGGUGAGUAACACGUGGAUAACCUACCUAUAAGACUGGGAUAACUUCGGGAAACCGGCGCUAAUAGCGGAUAAUAUAUUGAUCCGCAUGGUUGAAUAGUGAAAUACGGUUUUGCUGUAUCUUAUAGAUGGAUCCGCGCCUGAUUAGCUAGUUGGUAAGGUAACGGCUUAUCACGGCAACGAUGCGUAGCCGACCUGAGAGGGGGGUAGGCCACACUGGAACUGAGACAGGGUCAAGACUCCUACGAGAGGCAGCAGUAGGCAAUCGUCCGCAAUGGGCGAAAGCCUGACGGAGCAACGCCGCGUGAGUGAUGAAGGUCUUCGGAUCGUAAAACUCUGUUAUGAGGGAAGAACAAAUGUGUAAGUAACUAUGCACGUCUUGACGGUACCUAAUCAGAAAGCCCCGGCUAACUACGUG